CCAAUGUUUGACCGUCCAUCUUAUUUAAAAAAAUUAUAAAAAUAAUUAAAAAGAUAAGUCACGCAUAAAGUAUUAAUCAUGUUUUAUCAUCUAACAACAAUAAAAAUACUAAUUAUAAAAAAUUUUAUAUAAGACGGACAGUUAAACGUUAGCACGGAAACCCAGGGUU
rnacentral:pre_miRNA from 1 species